AGGGCAGAAGAAGACCAUUGAAGGCCCAGUUUCAAGAAGAGGAUCCUGCUCCCACUUUCAUAGCGGUAUCCCUGUUUAGUUUAUGUACUGAGAAAGUAUUGUGCUUUAAUUUUCAUUUUUUUUCUGAGCAAAGUUAACACAAAGGCAUGUAUCACUUGAUUUGUAUCACUUUAGAACAUGCCAUCAGAAGAAAGACUGGAAGGAAGAUACAUCUUUCAAGGGUCACAGUCCUAGUGUUCCUGAGAUGCUCCAAGCUACGUGCAUUGUCUGAGGAGCCUAAACAAACACCCCAGAGAACAGAGGUUAGCACCGUGGGCUGUCUACCUUCCUGCUCUAAUCUUUACAAUGGUGCCAUUCUUCACCUUUUCUUUCUCUCUUGAACAAUCACUGGCUUAAAUUGUACCUGUUCCAGCAAGACAGGUUUGCAGGUUUCAUAAGCCUUCAUGACAGUAAG
rnacentral:lncRNA from 1 species